CCUAGGGAAACCUAACAUUCAAGCCA
rnacentral:piRNA from 1 species